GAUGAACGCUAGCUACAGGCUUAACACAUGCAAGUCGAGGGGCAGCAUGGUCUUAGCUUGCUAAGGACGAUGGCGACCGGCGCACGGGUGAGUAACACGUAUCCAACCUGCCGUCUACUCUUGGACAGCCUUCUGAAAGGAAGAUUAAUACAAGAUGGCAUCAUGAGUCCACAUGUUCACAUGAUUAAAGGUAUUCCGGUAGACGAUGGGGAUGCGUUCCAUUAGAUAGUAGGCGGGGUAACGGCCCACCUAGUCUUCGAUGGAUAGGGGUUCUGAGAGGAAGGUCCCCCACAUUGGAACUGAGACACGGUCCAAACUCCUACGGGAGGCAGCAGUGAGGAAUAUUGGUCAAUGGGCGAGAGCCUGAACCAGCCAAGUAGCGUGAAGGAUGACUGCCCUAUGGGUUGUAAACUUCUUUUAUAAAGGAAUAAAGUCGGGUAUGGAUACCCGUUUGCAUGUACUUUAUGAAUAAGGAUCGGCUAACUCCGUGCCAGCAGCCGCGGUAAUACGGAGGAUCCGAGCGUUAUCCGGAUUUAUUGGGUUUAAAGGGAGCGUAGAUGGAUGUUUAAGUCAGUUGUGAAAGUUUGCGGCUCAACCGUAAAAUUGCAGUUGAUACUGGAUAUCUUGAGUGCAGUUGAGGCAGGCGGAAUUCGUGGUGUAGCGGUGAAAUGCUUAGAUAUCACGAAGAACUCCGAUUGCGAAGGCAGCCUGCUAAGCUGCAACUGACAUUGAGGCUCGAAAGUGUGGGUAUCAAACAGGAUUAGAUACCCUGGUAGUCCACACGGUAAACGAUGAAUACUCGCUGUUUGCGAUAUACAGCAAGCGGCCAAGCGAAAGCGUUAAGUAUUCCACCUGGGGAGUACGCCGGCAACGGUGAAACUCAAAGGAAUUGACGGGGGCCCGCACAAGCGGAGGAACAUGUGGUUUAAUUCGAUGAUACGCGAGGAACCUUACCCGGGCUUAAAUUGCAGAUGAAUUACGGUGAAAGCCGUAAGCCGCAAGGCAUCUGUGAAGGUGCUGCAUGGUUGUCGUCAGCUCGUGCCGUGAGGUGUCGGCUUAAGUGCCAUAACGAGCGCAACCCUUGUUGUCAGUUACUAACAGGUUCCGCUGAGGACUCUGACAAGACUGCCAUCGUAAGAUGUGAGGAAGGUGGGGAUGACGUCAAAUCAGCACGGCCCUUACGUCCGGGGCUACACACGUGUUACAAUGGGGGGUACAGAGGGCCGCUACCACGCGAGUGGAUGCCAAUCCCAAAAACCUCUCUCAGUUCGGACUGGAGUCUGCAACCCGACUCCACGAAGCUGGAUUCGCUAGUAAUCGCGCAUCAGCCACGGCGCGGUGAAUACGUUCCCGGGCCU
rnacentral:rRNA from 1 species